GGUAUGAGUAUCGAAAAGAAAGGUGAGAAUCCUUUCCACCGAAAGCCCGAGGGUUCCUGAGCAACGAUCGUCGACUCAGGGUAAGUCGGGACCUAAGCCGAGGCGAGAAGCGUAGGCGAUGGACAACAGGUUGAAAUUCCUGUACCGGAUCAAGUCGAUCGAGCGAAGGAGCGACGCAGGAGGGCACAUGAUCGCGCGGCUGGAAGAGCGCGUCCAAGUGCGUAUGUUGCAGCAGAGGAAAACCCCUGCAGCUAAAAGCAGAGACAUGAUGGGGAGUUAAAGGAAACUUUGACGAACUCAUGGAUCCCACACUGCCAAGAAAAACUUCUAGCGAGACAAGAUCCGCCCGUACCGUAAACCGACACAGGUAGGCGGGGAGAGAAUCCUAAGGUGCGCGGGAAAACCCUCGUUAAGGAACUCGGCAAAUUGCAUCCGUAACCUAGGGAGAAGGAUGGCCCCCGGUCAGUGAAGAGCAGAAACGCUCAGAGCUAAAAGGGGCGGCAGAAAAGAGGCCCAAGCAACUGUUUACCAAAAACACAGGUGCCUGCGAAAGCGAAAGCUGAAGUAUAGGUGCUGACGCCUGCCCGGUGCCGGAAGGUUAAGGAGAGGUGUGAGCGAAAGCGAAGCAUCGAACUGAAGCCCCGGUGAACGGCGGCCGUAACUAUAACGGUCCUAAGGUAGCGAAAUUCCUUGUCGGGUAAGUUCCGACCCGCAUGAAAGGCGUAAUGAUUUGGGCACUGUCUCAACGAGGGGCCCGGUGAAAUUGAAAUACCUGUGAAGAUGCAGGUUACCCGCGACUGGACAGAAAGACCCCAUGGAGCUUCACUGCAGCUUGAGAUUGAAUCCCGGUGACAGAUGCACAGGAUAGGUGGGAGGCGUCGAAGCAUUGCCCUAGGGCGGUGCGGAGCCGAUGUUGGGAUACCACCCUUCUGUUGCUGAGAUUCUAACGCGAGGAGUAACGACCCUGCGGACCCUCUCAGGCAGGCGGUUUGACUGGGGCGGUCGCCUCCGAAAGAGUAACGGAGGCGCCCAAAGGUUCCCUCAGGCCGGACAGAAACCGGCCGAAGAGUGCAAAGGCAGAAGGGAGCUUGACUGCGAGACCAACAAGUCGAGCAGGGACGAAAGUCGGGCUUAGUGAUCCGGUGGUACUGGGUGGAAAGGCCAUCGCUCAACGGAUAAAAGCUACCCUGGGGAUAACAGGCUAAUCUCUCCCAAGAGUUCAUAUCGACGGGGAGGUUUGGCACCUCGAUGUCGGCUCAUCACAUCCUGGGGCUG
rnacentral:rRNA from 1 species